UUUUUUUUUUGCGGUACAUGAGCCUCUCACUGUUGUGGCCUCUCCCAUUGCGGAGCACAGGCUCCAGACGCGCAGGCCCAGCGGCCAUGGCUCACGGGCCUAGCCGCUCCGCGGCAUGUGGGAUCCUCCCGGACCGGGGCACAAACCCGUGUCCCCUGCAUCGGCAGGCGGACUCUCAACCACUGCGCCACCAGGGAAGCCCAUUUAAUGGCAUUUUGUAUACUCAUAAUGUCAUAUAACCAUCAUCUCUAUUUAAUUCCAAAACAUUUUCAGCACCCUAAAGGAAACACCAUAUCUAUUAAGCAGUCACUCUGCAUUCCUCUCCUCCUCCAGCCCCUGGCAACCACUGAUCUGCUUUCUGUCCCUGGAUUUUCCUGUUCUGGAUAUUUCAUAUAAAUGGUAUCACAUAAAUGAUAUGUAUGUCUAGUUUCUUUCACUUAGUAUAGUGUUUUAAAAUUUCAUCCAUGUUGUCACAUGUAUCCGUAUUUCAUUCCUUUUUAUGGCUAAAUAAUGUUUCCUUGUAUACAUAGGCCACAGUUUGUUUAUCCACUCAUCGGAUGAUGGACAUUUGGGUUUUCAGCUUUUGGCUGUUGUGAACAGUGUUACAGUGAACAUUCAUUUACACGUUUUUGUUUGAAUAUCUGUUCAGUUUUGGUGGGAUUUAGUGGAAUUGCUGGGUUACAUUGUAAUUCUGUUUAACUUUUUGAGGAAUUGCCAAACUGUUUUCCACAGCAACUGAAUAAUUUUACAUUACUACCAGCAAUAUAGGAAGUUUCUAACCUCUCCACAUCCUCAGCAAAACCUUUUUUUUUUUUUUCAUUUUAACCAGCCUAGUGGAUGAACUGGUAUCUCAUUGUGGUUUUGAUUUGCAUUUCUUUAAUGACACUGAUGAGCUUCUUUUCAUGUGUUUGUUGUCCAUUUGUAUAUCUUUUUGGGAGAACUAUCUGUUCAAGUCCUUUGCCCAUUUUCAAAGUUUGUCUUUUUGUUGUUGAGUUGUAAGAGUUAUUUAUUCUGGCCCUUAUGGGACAUAUUAUCUACAGAUAUUUUGUCCCAUUCUGUUAGGUUGUCUUUUCACUUUCUUCAUAGUGUUCUUUGCACAAAAGUCCAAUUUAUCUACGUUUGAACUCAUUCCCAAAUUCAUGGUAAUGAAAAUUUAUCCCUAUGUUUUCUUCUAACAGUUCCAGAAUUUUAGCUAUUACAUUUAGGUCUUUGAUCCAUUUUGCAUGAAUUUUUGUAUAUGGUGUGAAAUAGGAGUCCAACUUCAUUCUUUUGCAUGUCGAUAUCCAGUUAUGCCAGCACCAUUUGUAGACAAUUAUUUCUUCUCUAAUCUUGUUUUGAUUCAACCCAUACAUUAUCUUUCUUGGCCACAAAGAUAUCUAUGUAAGCUAUCACUUGCUUUGCUCAAACCAUGAUAUAGAAGUUCUGUUGCAAUCUUUUAAUUUCCUAGUCUCUAGUACAUUUUUCUAAAAAGUAGUGAGGUAAUUUAUACUAAAUUUUUAAAAUUUAUUUUUAGUAGUGAUAUAGUAGCUUUUGUUCUAAACUGCGUUUGUUUAUGGGCUCAAAAACUCUACAUUCUAAAGACUUUUUAGUAUUGUGCUGGAAACUAAUAACAGUUUUACCCAUCUCAUUUCUCCCCUUUUUGGACAUAGUACAGUUUGCCUUUCACAGUUAUUCUGGCUCUUACAAUUCUCCAUGAUUUCGCAAAAUUGCUGACUCUCAUAUUUUUCCUUCUUUCAGUACUCUGAGAUGUAAUUAUUCAGGCCUUGAAACUUUAAACUACUUUAAUGUAGUUUGGAAUUAUCUCAUCUGUCUUAAUUUUCAAUUUUGUCUUAAUGAUGUUGUUUUUCUUUUUGCAGUUUUAUGGACAAGAUAGAGCAGUAGCUGUUGAACAGUAAUCUUGCUUUUUCUCUAAAAUCUAUUCUGAGCAUUCGAUCUCUCUCUUCUCAUUCUUCUUUAGACAUAUAUGGCUUUCAGAAGCCCUUUUUGUUCUUUUUACAGAUCUCAUUCCUGUUUGCCACUUUCUUUUUGUAUUUAUUUUAGGUUUAUUUAUUUUGCCACAUCAGAGAAAACCUUGCUUCCUUUUUUUUUAAUGCAUCCCUUCUUUUCUUUCUCAUUAUAAACAUAUGCUGUUAGAAUACUUAUUUUCAGGCCUUACAACUCUGUUGAUCCCUAUUUUGUGUUUUGAUUUUAAUCAUGUAUCAGUUUUUUCUUUUUGUUAUCUUCUGGAAAUUUUUAAAGUUGAGGCCAAAUGAGUUUUCUUCCUUUGCUAUUCAGAAGAGUCAAAUUCCUCCCAAGUGGCUUUUGGGGUGAGGGUGUUUUUCACUAGUCAGAAAAUAGCACUUUUAACAAUUAAAUCAAGACAUUACUGAAUACUUUGGUUUUAUUAGGGGACUUUUAGUAGUAAAUGUAUUGAUAAUUGGAUUUCUUGUCACUACUGCAUCUUGCCUUUUUAUUGGUUUUGGAAAUAGAACAUUAUCCUUAUAUUCUUUGUGGCCUGUUGGUUUUAUAAUAUACCUCCACAGUGCUCUUAUGUUCUAUGUUGUGUUUCUGCCUUUAGGUUUGUGGAUUUUUGUAAGUGUCUAAAUCUUGAUACCUCCAUUAGUGAAUGAGAUUUUUCUUUUUAUUUCCCUAUUUGUGUUGUAAGUUUUUCUUUUUUAAACAGUCUUUGAUGUAUCAUUAGUGCUGUCAAGUAGAACUUGUAGUUAUGGAAAUGUUCUAUAAGCUGCACUAUACAGUACAGAAGCCACUAGUCACAUGUGGCUAUUAAGCACAUGAAAUGUGGCCAGCACAGCUGAUAAACUGAAUUUUUAAUUUUAUUUAAUUUUAAUAAAUAGCCACAUCUGAUUACCGUAUUGGACAAGGCAGCCUCAGAUAACAUUUAUAUUCUUGCUUUUAAAAACUGUCUUGAUUAACAAGCCUCUUGCAAAGAUGUUCUUUUCAGUCUUUGUAAAAUGCAUCAAGGCCCUUAAUGCGGUAUUAUAAACCAUGGUAAAGAACAUGUUUUGUUUCGUUUUUUUUGGCUGCGCUGCUCUCGGCUUUCGGGAUCUUAGUUCCCGUACCAGGGAUUGAACCCGGGCCCAGGCAGUGAAAGUGCUGAGUCCUAACCACUGGACCGCCAGGGAAUUCCCAAAA